rnacentral:rRNA from 1 species
AGCGAACGCUGGCGGCAGGCUUAACACUUGCAAGUCGAACGCCCCGCAAGGGGAGUGGCAGACGGGUGAGUAACACGUGGGAACGUACCCUUUGGUUCGGAAUAACUUGGGGAAACUCAAGCUAAUACCGGAUAAGCCCUUAUGGGGAAAGGUUUACUGCCGAAGGAUCGGCCCGCGUCUGAUUAGCUAGUUGGUGAGGUAAUGGCUCACCAAGGCGACGAUCAGUAGCUGGUCUGAGAGGAUGAUCAGCCACACUGGGACUGAGACACGGCCCAGACUCCUACGGGAGGCAGCAGUGGGGAAUAUUGGACAAUGGGGGCAACCCUGAUCCAGCCAUGCCGCGUGAGGGAUGAAGGCCUUAGGGUUGUAAAGCUCUUUUACCCGGGACGAUAAUGACUGUACCGGGAGAAUAAGCCCCGGCUAACUUCGUGCCAGCCGCCGCAGUAA